rnacentral:tmRNA from 1 species
GGGGGCGAAACAGGAUCGACAAAAGUGUAAAGAUUGCUCUUUUACUCGGUAUAGUACCACCGUUAUCGGACUAAAUGAGUAGUUGCAAAUGACAACUAUGCGGAAGCACGUCUCGCUGCCUGAGGUGGUGUGAAUGCUUCAAACUAAGUCUUAAACCGUCGCAGGUUUAAGCGGGGUUCGAAGG